UUAAGUGUUGGGGGUGCGGCUGGGGUGUUUAGUGUUCCUAGUGGUCUGUCUGGUUAUGUGGGGAUUGAAUUGUAUAGUUGGAGUUGACUUCUGAGGUCGUUCUGAGGGCUAUGUAGUAAUCCUCCCUCCAAAUGUGUCCCUUUCACAGUCUGGCCAGUGUUCCGUUNCAAGCGGNNGGAANCCCGNGANGNUCANNNAUUCCCAANAANCCGGUCCCGGUUGGGAGGGAAGNGUNAAACUCGCCUCCAUGAAGGCGGAGUUGNUAGUAAUCGCGUAUCAGCAACGCCGCGGUGAAUAUGUUCCCGGGCCUUGUACACACCGCCCGUCACACCACGAAAGUCGGCAAUACCCGAAGCCGGUGGCCUAACCCGCAAGGGAGGGAGCCGUCGAAGGUAGGGUCGAUGAUUGGGGUGAAGUCGUAACAAGGUAG
rnacentral:rRNA from 1 species